CUGCAUUUUCCAGAAAGGACAAGGAAAAGCAAUUCCCCAUCGAGUAAUGCGACCCCAACACCACUCCCAGGACUUGAUUGAGGAUUUGAAUGCAUGCAUGGUAAUUACCCUAUUCUGAGCAUUGCCAUUUUCUUUUUCUGAAGUUUUGUUUGAGUGCUAGAGUAACAGGAUCAGAAGGAUGACCAACAUUUUAUUACAUUCAAAGAACAGCUUCACUAUUUACAGGUUUAGUUUUUGUGUGAUUCAAAGAAUGGCUUCACUAUUUGCAGAUUACUUAGGUUCCACUUUCAUAAGUACUAUAUUAAAGUGCAAGUCACUCCUUUUUCUCCUCUUUCUUCCUUUGAGCUCCUGUUUCUCUAAUUUGCUGUACCAGUGGAGGAAGAUGACGAACCAACCACAAAGAAUACUUCUCCCCAACUCAUCUCAUCUACUAGAACAGCAUCAUCUCUCCCUAAUUUGCCGUUUGAGCACUCGAUCUGUUUUAAUUUUUUCCCUCUCCUCUUAAUACCUUCCAUAAUCUAAUUAUUGCAUCGUUUCAGAAGGUUCAUGAGUUUGAUGUACUAGAUGGAGAAGUACGGUUCAGAAUCUGCAGGAAAUUCAUCUAUACGGAUGUGUCACAUAAAUGAUGAAAAUUGUGCAUGUUUUGAUUAAGAUCUGGAUCACUUCUCCUGCUUGAAAACUAUAGGAGGUUGGUUCGAGCGUCAAUGCCUUCCCUUUGAUCCCGCUGCCGCCCCUGGGUCAGCGAGUGGCAAGCUACAUGAGAUUUCACGGCACAUGGGCAAUAGAUGACAAGCCGAUAAGAAUUUCAAUGGGGAAACCACCUAGAUUGGAACCAGCGGAAUAGGUUACACCAGUUCUGAGGGCCACUGCAUAUAACACCUAUCCAGCAAAAUGGGCAAUGCUCGGUUUUGUUCAAUUGGCCUCCUAUGAAGCCAUGGGAUAUUGUUAGGUCAAAAACAAAUAUCAAUAAGUUCAAGGAUUAAUUGUGGGCUGCAACUCAACAUAAAAAUAAACGGCGAACUGAUCGACUUAGUAAUUAAUUGUGGGCUGCAACUCAGCAUCAAAAUAAAUGACGAACUGAUGGACUUAGUAAUUAAAUGUGUCACUGCAUUUAGUCAGUGGUUACGUCUAUGUUUUUAUGUUCAGAUUUCAUCUGUACUUAUAUGAGAAAGGGGAAACCCCUAUAGGUGAAAAUAGGUGUAAGAUUUAAUGUAAAUCAGAUACAUUGUUAAUAUAUAUGGAUUGGUUAA